UACAGAGGUCUCAAGCGUUGUUCGGAUUCAUUGGGCGUAAAGGGUGCGUAGGCGGCUCAGUAAGUCGGAUGUGAAAACUCGGGGCUCAACCCCGAGACGCCAUCCGAUACUGCUGUGGCUUGAGUCUGGUAGGGGAACACGGAAUUCCUGGUGUAGCGGUGAAAUGCGCAGAUAUCAGGAGGAACACCAAUGGCGAAGGCAGCUCGCUGGGACGGUACUGACGCUGAGGCGCGAAAGCGUGGGGAGCAAACAGG
rnacentral:rRNA from 1 species